rnacentral:pre_miRNA from 1 species
AUAAGAACUUAAUAUAACUUUAAAGCAAUAAGAUCUUAAUAUAAAGGGCAGAUUUAGCAUAACAAUUAAGCAUAUGAUAUUAGAAUAGCUAAAUCAGGUAAGAUCGGCUGAAACUCCGAUACUAUCUCUAUAAAUGAUCAUAAAACAAGCUAGAUAUCACAAUUAUAGAUAGAACUUAAUAGAUCGAACUCAACCGAUGCAACAUUAAGCAUAUAAAAUAACUGUAAGAUCUAAACAAGA